CCUACGGGAGGCAGCAGUGAGGAAUAUUGGUCAAUGGACGAGAGUCUGAACCAGCCAAGUAGCGUGAAGGAUGACUGCCCUAUGGGUUGUAAACUUCUUUUAUAAAGGAAUAAAACGAGGCACGUGUGCCUUUUUGUAUGUACUUUAUGAAUAAGCAUCGGCUAACUCCGUGCCAGCAGCCGCGGUAAUACGGAGGAUCCGAGCGUUAUCCGGAUUUAUUGGGUUUAAAGGGAGCGUAGAUGGGUUGUUAAGUCAGUUGUGAAAGUUUGCGGCUCAACCGUAAAAUUGCAGUUGAUACUGGCAGUCUUGAGUACAGUUGAGGUAGGCGGAAUUCGUGGUGUAGCGGUGAAAUGCUUAGAUAUCACGAAGAACCCCGAGUGCGAAGGCAGCUUACUAAACUGUGACUGACAUUGAUGCUCGAAAGUGUGGGUAUCAAACAGGAUUAGAUACCCCUGUAGUC
rnacentral:rRNA from 1 species